rnacentral:rRNA from 1 species
GACGAACGCUGGCGGCGUGCUUAACACAUGCCAGUCGAACGGAAAGGCCCUGCUUUUGUGGGGUUCUCGAUUGGCGAACGGGUGAGUAACACGUGAGUAACCUGCCCUUGACUUUGGGAUAACUUCAGGAAACUGGGGCUAAUACCGGAUAGGAGCUCCUGCUGCAUGGUGGGGGUUGGAAAGUUUCGGCGGUUGGGGAUGGACUCGCGGCUUAUCAGCUUGUUUGUGGGGUAGUGGCUUACCAAGGCUUUGACGGGUAGCCGGCCUGGGAGGGUGACCGGCCACCUUGGGACUGAGAUACGGCCCAGACUCCUACGGGAGGCAGCAGUGGGGAAUAUUGCACAACGGGCGGAAGCCUGAUGCAGCAACGCCGCGUGCGGGAUGACGGCCUUCGGGUUGUAAACCGCUUUCGACUGUGACGAAGCGUGAGUGACGGUAAUGGGUAAAGAAGCACCGGCUAACUACGUG